rnacentral:rRNA from 1 species
UACAAUGGUCGGUACAGAGGUGCGAACCCGCGAGGGGGAGCUAAUCCCACAAAGCCGAUCGUAGUCCGGAUCGCAGUCUGCAACUCGACUGCGUGAAGUCGGAAUCGCUAGUAAUCGUGGAUCAGCAUGUCACGGUGAAUACGUUCCCGGGUCUU